GAUGAAGAACGUAGCGAAAUGCGAUAAGUAAUGUGAAUUGCAGAACUCAGUGAAUCAUCGAAUCUUUGAACGCACAUUGCGCCCGCCAGUAUUCUGGCGGGCAUGCCUGUCCGAGCGUCAUUUCAACCCUCGCGCCCAUCUGGGCUGCGGUGUUGGGGACCGGCCUGCCCCCCCGGGGCGCGCCGCCCCCCAAAUUCAGUGGCGGUCUCGCUGCAGCCUCCCUUGCGUAGUAGCACACCUCGCACCGGAGCGCAGCGCGGCCACGCCGUAAAACCCCCGACCCCCAUGAGUUUGACCUCGGAUCAGGUAGGAAUACCCGCUGAACUUAAGCAUAUCAAUAAGCGGAGGA
rnacentral:misc_RNA from 1 species